rfam:Streptococcus gallolyticus strain ICDDRB-NRC-S1, complete genome.
CUCAGAGUAGAUGAUUCGCGUUAAGUGUGUGUGAAUGGGAUGUUGUCACACAACGAAGCAAUUUGCGCGGUGAAUCAUUGCAUCCGCUGUU